rnacentral:rRNA from 1 species
UACGUAGGGAGCGAGCGUUAAUCGGAAUUACUGGGCGUAAAGCGUGCGCAGGCGGUUUUGUAAGCCAGAUGUGAAAUCCCCGGGCUUAACCUGGGAAUGGCAUUUGGGACUGCAAGGCUCGAGUGCGGCAGAGGAGACUGGAAUUCCUGGUGUAGCAGUGAAAUGCGUAGAUAUCAGGAGGAACACCGAUGGCGAAGGCAGGUCUCUGGGCUGACACUGACGCUCAUGCACGAAAGCGUGGGGAGCAAACAGG